rnacentral:rRNA from 1 species
UCGGAUAGUAUCCUUACGUGAAUACAUAGCGUAAGGAAGGCAGACCCAGGGAACUGAAACAUCUAAGUACCUGGAGGAAGAGAAAGAAAAAUCGAUUUCCUGAGUAGCGGCGAGCGAAACGGAAAGAGCCCAAACCAAGAAGCUUGCUUCUUGGGGUUGUAGGACACUCUAUACGGAGUUACAAAAGAAAGUUAUAAAUGAAGCGGUCUGGAAAGGCCCGCCAAAGACGGUAACAGCCCGGUAGUUGAAAUGGCUUUCCCUCCAGAGUGGAUCCUGAGUACGGCGGAACACGUGAAAUUCCGUCGGAAUCCGGGAGGACCAUCUCCCAAGGCUAAAUACUCCCUAGUGACCGAUAGUGAACCAGUACCGUGAGGGAAAGGUGAAAAGCACCCCGGAAGGGGAGUGAAACAGUUCCUGAAACCGUGUGCCUACAAGUAGUUAGAGCCCGUUAAUGGGUGAUAGCGUGCCUUUUGUAGAAUGAACCGGCGAGUUACGAUUUGUUGCAAGGUUAAGCGGAAAAAGCGGAGCCGUAGCG